rnacentral:rRNA from 1 species
ACGGAAGGCCGCAGUGGGGAAUAUUGGGCAAUGGGCGAAAGCCUGACCCAGCAACGCCGCGUGAAGGAAGAAGGUCUUCGGAUUGUAAACUUCUUUUAUGAGGGACGAAGGACGUGACGGUACCUCAUGAAUAAGCCACGGCUAACUACGUGCCAGCAGCCGCGGUAAUACGUAGGUGGCAAGCGUUAUCCGGAUUUACUGGGUGUAAAGGGCGCGUAGGCGGGGAUGCAAGUCAGAUGUGAAAUCUAUGGGCUUAACUCAUAAACUGCAUUUGAAACUGUGUCUCUUGAGUGUCGGAGAGGUAGAUGGAAUUCCUUGUGUAGCGGUGAAAUGCGUAGAUAUAAGGAAGAACACCAGUGGCGAAGGCGAUCUACUGGACGAUUACUGACGCUGAGACACGAAAGUGUGGGGAGCAAACAGGAUUAGAUACCCUGGUA